rnacentral:rRNA from 1 species
CACUCCUACGGGAGGCAGCAGUGGGGAAUUUUGGACAAUGGGCGAAAGCCUGAUCCAGCAAUGCCGCGUGCAGGAUGAAGGCCUUCGGGUUGUAAACUGCUUUUGUACGGAACGAAAAAGCUCCUUCUAAUACAGGGGGCCCAUGACGGUACCGUAAGAAUAAGCACCGGCUAACUACGUGCCAGCAGCCGCGGUAAUACGUAGGGUGCGAGCGUUAAUCGGAAUUACUGGGCGUAAAGCGUGCGCAGGCGGUUAUGUAAGACAGAUGUGAAAUCCCCGGGCUCAACCUGGGAACUGCAUUUGUGACUGCAUGGCUAGAGUACGGUAGAGGGGGAUGGAAUUCCGCGUGUAGCAGUGAAAUGCGUAGAUAUGCGGAGGAACACCGAUGGCGAAGGCAAUCCCCUGGACCUGUACUGACGCUCAUGCACGAAAGCGUGGGGAGCAAACAGGAUUAGAUACCCGAGUAGUCCCAUG